AAUCUGCACAUAUUCUGGGGGGUCGAAGUCUUUCCAACUAGGACGGAAAGAGCUUUGAGGUGGCCAAAGCUCUUCUACAGGAAAUUGUGCCUCGGUUUGGUAUGCCCUUAACCAUACACAGUGAUAACAGACCUGCAUUUAUGGUGGACAUUAUACAAACCCUGACCAAGUCCCUCAACAUUACCUGGAAAUUGCAACGCGCAUCUAUCUUAGCCCUCCAAGGAUACCAACCCCAGGAACUAAAGGGUGAUGCCUACCAAAAAGAUUUUUUGAAAAGGCAUAAAAGGGGGAAUGUUGGGAAAAUAAGUAAAGUUAUGCACCAUAAGAUGGCCUACGGGACUAAUAUAAGCUCUAGUUCCUAGCUUACAGACUCUUCUUCCAGGUUCUUCUUCCUGCCCUGCUUUCCAUGUGUGCCAAAUUACUACUAAUGCAGAAUGUGAAAGUAACAGGUAAUAAACUGUCCCCCAUCCUUGUGCUCAGGGCUCAGAUCUCUGGAGAAGGAUCUCCUCUGAGCUUGCCAGUGUAAAAUAAAACUCUGAUCUACCAAGAUCUCCGAGUGCCGCUUGGUUUUUCCGCCAGCGAUCCAGCCUGGUUCUGGAAUAGGUUAAGCGUCCGACUUCAGCCAGGUCA